rnacentral:rRNA from 1 species
UACGUAGGCAGCAAGCGUUGUUCGGAGUUACUGGGCGUAAAGGGUGUGUAGGCGGUUCUUUAAGUUUGGUGUGAAAUCUCCCGGCUCAACUGGGAGGGUGCGCCGAAUACUGAGGGACUAGAGUACGGGAGAGGAAAGUGGAAUUCCUGGUGUAGCGGUGAAAUGCGUAGAGAUCGGGAGGAACACCAGUGGCGAAGGCGGCUUGCUGGGCCGGACCUGACGCUGAGACGCGAAGGCGUGGGGAGCGAACGGG